rnacentral:rRNA from 1 species
GGAUUGCCUUAGUAACGGCGAGUGAAGCGGCAAUAGCUCAAAUUUGAAAGCUGGCCCCUUCGGGGUCCGCGUUGUAAUUUGUAGAGGAUGAUUCGGCGAGGGCUCCCGUCUAAGUCCCUUGGAACAGGGCGUCAUAGAGGGUGAGAAUCCCGUAUGUGAUGGGCUGCCUUAGCCAUGUGAAUCUCCUUCGACGAGUCGAGUUGUUUGGGAAUGCAGCUCUAAAUGGGAGGUAAAUUUCUUCUAAAGCUAAAUACCGGCCAGAGACCGAUAGCGCACAAGUAGAGUGAUCGAAAGAUGAAAAGCACUUUGGAAAGAGAGUUAAAAAGUACGUGAAAUUGUUGAAAGGGAAGCGCUUGCAGCCAGACUUGUCCGCAGUUGCUCAGCUUGUCUCCUGACAGGCGUACUCUUCUGCGGCCAGGCCAGCAUCAGUUCGGGCGGUCGGAUAAAGACCUGGGGAAUGUAGCUCCUCUCGGGGAGUGUUAUAGCCCUGGGUGCAAUGCGGCCAGCCUGGACUGAGGAUCUCGCUUCGGCUAGGAUGCUGGCGUAAUGGCUGUAAGCGGCCCGUCUUGAAACACGGACCAAGGAGUCUAACAUCUAUGCGAGUGUUUGGGUGUCAAACCCAUGCGCGUAAUGAAAGUGAACGGAGGUGGGAACCCUCACGGGUGCACCAUCGACCGAUCCUGAUGUCUUCGGAUGGAUUUGAGUAAGAGCAUAGCUGUUGGGACCCGAAAGAUGGUGAACUAUGCCUGAAUAGGGUGAAGCCAGAGGAAACUCUGGUGGAGGCUCGCAGCGGUUCUGACGUGCAAAUCGAUCGUCAAAUUUGGGUAUAGGGGCGAAAGACUAAUCGAACCAUCUAGUAGCUGGUUCCUGCCGAGUCUUCUCUCCCCGGAUAUAAAAA